rnacentral:lncRNA from 1 species
UCCAAGAUCCAUUUCAUCCAACCUUUGCUUUCUGACAAUACCCUGGUAGAUGUUUCUGGAAAAUGCACGCCCAGGAUAAAAAGGCACUAAUCCACUCCUGCUGUGGAUUGACCCCCCCAAUGCCGAGGGUCCAAUGACACAUUGUACACCAUGGAUAGCUCCUGCAUCUUACACCAUUUCCUCUCCCGACACACCCCUCCUUCAAAGCCCAAGCCAUCAGCCUUGAAAAUAAAGCUUGCAUUUCAAUCUAACUAGCCACAUGCACAGCCAAGAAAGCUUGUUCUAGAAGAAAUAGAUUUUUAAAAAUAUACUUAAGGGUACUCUGCUUCUAAUGACAUGCUAAGUGCACCCACCUAGUUUAUUCCAAGAUACUCCAACCCACCACGGAGGGUCCAGCAAAAUCCUCACACUUCCCAGCUAACAAAGAAGGGGAACUAAAUUGAGCAGAGGGUUGGACUUGAUGGCCCCUUCCAAUUUCAUUAUUCUAUAAUUCUAAUUCCACCAUUCCUUCAAAAAGAUACUGGCCUGCUUCAGCUGUAAUGCCCUCUGUCCAAAAAAUGUUAAUUUACCAAAUGAAGGAGAAUCAUAGCCAUGCACUGCCUUCUUCCCUCCCCUCGUUCUUCUUUCCCUACACAUACUUUAAUGCAAUAUUUCUGAGCUUGUUGAUCACCCCACAAGCUAAGAGGAAGCAAAGUCCAAGAAAACUAUUACCCUUUGACUCAUGUCUAUAACUUAGUCUCUUUUUUUUACAGACUCUGACGUGAUGGGGCAGCAAACCUGCCCCAUAUUUAACGGCAGCUCUCUGAAGCACCGAAGACUCACCCCCAAAGAUUUUCAGCACCCCAAGAAGCUCCUUUGGUGCCCAGAUGAAAACUGGACCAAAUUCCUCACCUAUGUCUUCCUAAACGACAUCAACACCACUAACAUUUCUCCUAGCACUUCUUGAAGAACAAGGCAGAGUUUACCUCUACUCUAGGAGUUCAACUGCAGCCCGUACAGAAAGCGAUCUUCAUCCUUUCCAACAUUUGCUAGUGAACGAGAAACUUGUGUUCCUUUUGCUCGUGAACUCUCCCUGCGUUCCUUCGACCAACCCGAUCCCCCACCCUGCUCCUCGCGCCACGACCGCCCCAUU